CCAGAUAAAAUCCAAGGAUUUGCGGGCCCCGGCAAGCGUGGAUGAGUGGAAUAUUAGAGGAACGGAAAACCCUACCUACCCUUGACACUUUGGAAUUCGAAGAGAUUGGUAUCCUGACAAGAGAACCUGAACACAGAAGCUCAGGCCCUCCUCAGCUCGGUGUGAGAUGUUGGGUUAAGUCAGCAACGAGCGCACCCCUUGUCAUUAGUUGUUACGAAAGGGCACUCUAAUGAGACUGCCGGUGACAAACCGAAGGAAGGUGGGGAUGACGUCAAGUCSUCAUGGCCCUUAUGGGUAGGGCUCACCCGUCAUACAAGGGUCGGGACAGAGGGUCGCCAACGCGCGAAGGGGAGCCAAUCCCAGAAACCCGAUCGUAGUCCGGAUCGCAGUCUGCAACUCGAUUGCAGAAGUCGGAAUCGCUAGUAAUCGCGGAUCAGCAUGUCGCGGUGAAUACGUUCCCGGGUCUUUACCCACCCCCCGUUCCUCCAUGAAGUUGGUUUUACCAGAAGUAGUUAGCCCUAACCCGUAGAGGGCGGGCGCGAUACCCCCC
rnacentral:rRNA from 1 species